rnacentral:tRNA from 1 species
GAGAGUAUAGCUCAUCUGGAUAGAGCGUCAGCCUCCGGAGCUGAAGGUGGCAGGUUCGAGUCCUGUUACUCUCA